UACGAAGGGGGCUAGCGUUGCUCGGAAUCACUGGGCGUAAAGCGCACGUAGGCGGCUUCUUAAGUCAGGGGUGAAAUCCUGGAGCUCAACUCCAGAACUGCCUUUGAUACUGAGAGCUUGAGUCCGGGAGAGGUGAGUGGAACUGCGAGUGUAGAGGUGAAAUUCGUAGAUAUUCGCAAGAACACCAGUGGCGAAGGCGGCUCACUGGCCCGGUACUGACGCUGAGGUGCGAAAGCGUGGGAGCAACAGG
rnacentral:rRNA from 1 species